rnacentral:rRNA from 1 species
UGGUGGUCAUAGCGCGAGGCAAACUCCCGAUCCCAUCCCGAACUCGGACGAUAAGGCCCGCCGCGCCGAUGGUACUGCGUCUCAAGACGUGGGAGAGUAGGUCGCCGCCA